AUACGGAGGGUGCAAGCGUUACUCGGAAUCACUGGGCGUAAAGCGCGCGCAGGCGGCUUGGUAAGUUGGAUGUGAAAGCCUACGGCUCAACCGUAGAACUGCAUCCAAAACUGCCAAGCUAGAGUGUGGGAGAGGAAGAUGGAAUUAGUUGUGUAGGGGUAAAAUCCGUAGAGAUAACUAGGAAUACCAAAAGCGAAGGCAAUCUUCUGGAACACUACUGACGCUGAGGCGCGAAAGCGUGGGGAGCAAACAGGAUUAGAAACCCUAGUAGUCC
rnacentral:rRNA from 1 species